AUUGAACGCUGGCGGAAUGCUUUACACAUGCAAGUCGAACGGUAGAGGGGGCAACCCCUUGAGAGUGGCGAACGGGUGAGUAAUAUAUCGGAACGUGCCCAGUCGUGGGGAUAACGUAGCGAAAGUUACGCUAAUACCGCAUACGAUCUAAGGAUGAAAGCGGGGGACUCGCAAGAGCCUCGCGCGAUUGGAGCGGCCGAUAUCAGAUUAGGUAGUUGGUGGGGUAAAGGCUCACCAAGCCAACGAUCUGUAGCUGGUCUGAGAGGACGACCAGCCACACUGGAACUGAGACACGGUCCAGACUCCUACGGGAGGCAGCAGUGGGGAAUUUUGGACAAUGGACGCAAGUCUGAUCCAGCCAUUCCGCGUGCAGGAUGAAGGCCCUCGGGUUGUAAACUGCUUUUGUACGGAACGAAAAGGUUUCUAUUAAUACUAGGAGCUCAUGACGGUACCGUAAGAAUAAGCACCGGCUAACUACGUGCCAGCAGCCGCGGUAAUGUG
rnacentral:rRNA from 1 species